rnacentral:tRNA from 1 species
AGAAUAGUAGUUAAAAAUAACGUUUGAUUUGCAUUCAAGAAUUAUUAACAUAAAUUAAUCUAUUUUA